rnacentral:rRNA from 1 species
CCUGGCUCAGAUUGAACGCUGGCGGCAGGCUUAACACAUGCAAGUCGAGCGGAAACGAUGAUAGCUUGCUAUCAGGCGUCGAGCGGCGGACGGGUGAGUAAUACUUAGGAAUCUACCUAGUAGUGGGGGAUAGCUCGGGGAAACUCGAAUUAAUACCGCAUACGACCUACGGGAGAAAGGGGGCAGCUUGUUGCUCUCGCUAUUAGAUGAGCCUAAGUCGGAUUAGCUAGAUGGUGGGGUAAAGGCCUACCAUGGCGACGAUCUGUAGCUGGUCUGAGAGGAUGAUCAGCCACACCGGGACUGAGACACGGCCCGGACUCCUACGGGAGGCAGCAGUGGGGAAUAUUGGACAAUGGGGGCAACCCUGAUCCAGCCAUGCCGCGUGUGUGAAGAAGGCCUUUUGGUUGUAAAGCACUUUAAGCAGUGAAGAAGACUCCGUGGUUAAUACCCACGGACGAUGACAUUAGCUGCAGAAUAAGCACCGGCUAACUCUGUGCCAGCAGCCGCGGUAAUACAGAGGGUGCAAGCGUUAAUCGGAAUUACUGGGCGUAAAGCGAGCGUAGGUGGCUUGAUAAGUCAGAUGUGAAAUCCCCGGGCUUAACCUGGGAACUGCAUCUGAUACUGUUAGGCUAGAAUAGGUGAGAGGAAGGUAGAAUUCCAGGUGUAGCGGUGAAAUGCGUAGAGAUCUGGAGGAAUACCGAUGGCGAAGGCAGCCUUCUGGCAUCAUAUUGACACUGAGGUUCGAAAGCGUGGGUAGCAAACAGGAUUAGAUACCCUGGUAGUCCACGCCGUAAACGAUGUCUACUAGUCGUUGGGUCCCUUGAGGAACUUAGUGACGCAGCUAACGC